UUUUCUUGAGAGAGAGAGACGAGACGGCUGGGAAGGGAUGGGCCGCACCUUGGGCCCAAGCCCAACGUGCUUCAUCUCUUCUUCUAUCUUAUCUUCUCUUCUCUUCGCCUCCGCUGCGCCGCGCAUCCGCAACCGCAUCGCCCAUUCCAUUUCCAUGGCGCUCGCCGCCGCCGCCACCACCUUCCGCCCUCGCCUCGUCGUCACCGCCAAAGCCGACAACACCGACACUCGCCGUCGCCACUGGAAGGCCGGUGAGUUCCCCUUCCCCACCUCUUCCGACACUCCCCGCCGGAGCGCCCGCACCGCCGAGCGUCCGCCCGAUAAGCCGAGGGAUGAAGAUGGGGAUAGCAGCAGGAGGACUGGGCGCAGGCACUGGAAGGCAGGCGAAUUCCCGGGCACGCAGGAGGACUCCAGGCGACCUCGGAGGAGCCCCAUCAAGAACGUCAAGAAGCGGCUUGACGCGCGCGCCGAGGCCAAGGCGUGGGCCUGCACCGUCACCGAGGCCCUCGCUGAUCGCAUCGACGCCAAAAACUGGCAAGAGGCGCUCCAGGUCUUCCAGAUGCUCAAGGAGCAACCUUUCUAUCAUCCCAAAGAGGGCACUUUCAUGAAGCUCCUCCUGCUGCUGGGCAGGUCAGGCCAGCCUUCCCGUGCUCGCUACCUCUUCGAUGAGAUGCUGCAGCAAGGAUGCCAGCCCACCCCGGAGCUCUACACGGCCUUGAUUGCUGCCUACUGCAGGAAUGGCCUCCUCGACGACGCCUUCCGCCUUCUUGCCGAUAUGAAGGCCUCUCCGGUUUGCCAGCCUGACGUCUAUACCUACAGCACCAUCAUCAAGGCUUGUGUUGAUGCCUCAAGAUUUGACAUAGUCGAUGCUAUGUACAAAGAUAUGGCUGACCGCUCCAUAGCGCCCAACACGGUCACGCAGAACAUUGUCCUCAGUGGCUAUGGCAGGGCUGGAAGGUUGGAUGACAUGGAGAAAGUACUCUCUGCAAUGCUCGACAGCACAACUAGCAAACCAGAUGUAUGGACUAUGAACAUUAUAUUAAGCCUAUUUGGUAACAGGGGUCAGAUUGAAUCUAUGGAGAAGUGGUAUGAGAAAUUCCGAGGCUAUGGGAUCGAACCGGAGACUCGGACACUCAACAUUCUCAUUGGCGCAUAUGGGAAGAAGCGGAUGUAUGACAAGAUGUCUGCAGUGAUGGAGUACAUGCGCAAGUUAGCGUUUCCAUGGACCACUGCGACAUUCAACAAUGUGAUUGAGGCAUUCGCUGACGCAGGCGAUGCAAAAAACAUGGAGCACACAUUUAACCAGAUGCGUGCAGAGGGGAUGAAGCCAGAUACAAAGACAUUUUGUUGUCUCAUAAAUGGGUUUGGCAAUGCGGGUCUUUUCCAUAAGGUGGUUGGCAUGGUUAAGCUGGCUGAGAGGCUUGGUGUGCCAAUGGAUACAACUUUCCACAAUGCUGUUCUCAUGACAUGUGUAAAAGCUGAGGAUUUGAUGGAGAUGGAGAGGGUCUUCAUGCGCAUGAAGCAAAUACAGUGUAUCCCAGAUGCUACAACAUACUCCAUUUUGGUGGGAGCUUAUCGGAAGGAAGGAAUGACUGACAAGAUCUAUGUUCUGCAACAGGAGAACCCGACUUUGGUUCCAACUGACCUUGUCCAUGUGUAACUCUCACCACUGAUCUGUACCUCAAAGACUAUACAUUGGAUGAGCUGCAGUUCAAUGGGAUCGACACUGCUGCUUUUCUGACUCCUGUGGAUCUGAAUUUCAGUGUCAGACGCCCACCCAAACAGCAUCUGAAUUUGGGUGUCAGACGCCCAAACGGCCAGACCCUAACAACAGCUGCUAGAAAGAUCAUCAGCAGAUGUAUCAACACGGGGAAUCUCGCCUAAUUUCUACCCUGGCACCUCAAGCUGCAUAUCAAUGGCCUUUGAUGAUAACUUUCAAGGACAGGAAUGUAGUUGAGUUUUUUGUGUUCAGAAUGAAAGCAGCUCAGCAAGCGAUUGUUAGAGAAGAAGAGGAUGGAGUCUCGCACUGAGUAGAGGUGGUUCUAAAAUGUGGCUAGCAGAAUAGGAAAAGAAGAUUUUAGAAAGCUGCUUGACUUGAAUAGCCUUGACUUGUGAAAAAUUUUCAUGCUUGAUACAUAGGAGGCGGCAAAAGCGAGUGCAAAAGGAACCUAGACAAUACGGGUGGAAAUGGAAUGGUGGGCUCCAGCUCUUCAAUUUGUUCAUCCAAUUAAUAUACAUAGGCCUGUUCUGUAGCUUUGGUGAAAUUCGAAAUUACUCAAAUCCACAUAUAGUCCGUAUUGAAACGAGUCCAUAAUCGACGAUUAUACUGUAUUUGUGGUUAGGUUGGUGACAUUCCUAUGAAAUUAAAUAGAAAGUUAUAAAGCCUAA